rnacentral:lncRNA from 1 species
ACUGAGGAAGAAUAUAAGUUAGCCUCGUAGUGACCAUGUGGAAGUCCUGACCUCGCUUGCAGACUUGACCUCUGGAUGUGACAAGGUGAGGUUCUGUGUUCACUGAUACAUCCCCUUCCUUCACCGGGCUCAUGAAAAGAAAUGCUGAAUCAGCAAAUAGAGUGAACGAACAAUCAAGAUGAGAUGGCUGCUGUUGAUGUGAUUCUCUAGGUUACUACCUUUCUUCCUGCUGCAAAUGCUGCAUGACACUAAGCUUACAGGAUCUAGAAGCAGACUACAAAAAAAGAAGAAAUUCACUCUGAAGACUGAAGAAACACUAGGCUGAUCUUAAGUUUCCGAAAUACACUCUGUAACACUACACUGAUUCUUUGAAUCUCUUGCAAAAAGAAUCAAACCAGGACAAAGUUCAACAGAUAACUGGUCAAAUGCUUAGGAAUGUCUAUGUCCACCAAGAAUAUGGAACCAUUAAUGCCAUGCUUCAGGUAAACUUGUUACAAAAUUUAGUCUUCGAUAAAUUAGUCUCUGCAAAUGAUUUACCAUUGCUCUACAUUAGUAAGCUGAAUGUUUCACUAACAAAUAAGAAAAUAAAAUAUUUCAUGUUUUUACAGCUAACAACUUAGUAAUACCUACUCAGAGUACAUACUUCUUUAUGUACCCAUAUGAACAUACAAUGCUAUGGAAUGUAAAGAAGUAUGUAUUUUUGGUAGGCAAUAAACCACCAAGGGAGAAUUAAACUGAGCUAAAAGAAGCUCUUGCUUCUUUCUACGUGAAUGACCGUCAUAUGGUAAAUUAACCUAGUCAUGAACAGAUGACCUUUGGCAAUACUAACACCAAAAAAAAAAGGUUAUCUACUACUGAUAGAUAGAAACUAUCCCUAAGGUUUUUAUUUCAUGAAGGAAAAGAAGAUCCAGUGAAGUAGAUUUCAAUUAUCAUGAAACUCCUUUUAAAUCAUCUAAGUUUAAAACAGACAUCUUACAUUUUUAAAUUAGGCACUCUCAUUAUUAAAAUUUGACUGCAAAAGGGAAAAUAGUAUUACUAGCACAAAAGAAUGAGGAAUACACAUGACCUAUUUUCUGUCUCCACAAUUUAAUCUUAAGUAUAUCUCAUUAGUAGGGCUCACUGAUUUGUACAGAAAAAUAAGAUACUAAGAGCUGGCUUCAUUCACAUAAUAAGCUAUUUCUUCUCAUUUUGAUAAAUGUAUAAUUAAUAUUAGAGGAAUUUCUGACCAAAAGUUUUGUUGUUUUAAAAAGGCUUUCUUUUUUGACAGCUACAAACAUAGUGGCCCUUGUCCUUCCUUCUCAAGUUUAUCAGGGUCUUAACCCAAAUCUCUACUUUAAAUGUGAAGUUAAAACUUAAAAUUAAUUAAAAUGUAAGAUUUAAGCAUGAAAAAUGACAAAAUUCUGGUCCACAGCUGUAAGUCAGCAGGGUAUAUUGGUAACAGACUACCAAAUAUUUAAAAGAAAUUAAUUUAUCUGUAUUAUCUUCGAAUUUGCUUUCUCCAAAGAGGGCAUGUAAAAUGAAAGCACUAUAGUCAAGAACCAAUUUAUACAGAUCGAAGAACUGUUUUUAUUGUACUAUGCAAUUACAAUUCAAUUUCUCUAAACUUGAUCAAUCCAUUGUUUAGAAAUAUCAAAAUACUUUUAUUUCACACAGUUUGUAUAUUAUUUAUAAAAAAUUCCAAAUAAUGCUCUUAGCAAAAUUUAUAAGCAGUACCUGUUUUAAGCUACUAAUGACAAAGUUAGAAAAUAAGAGUAAUAUUCACAUAUUCUAACCAUUUCUUACUAAAAGUAUUAUUUCAACUGAAAUAUUUACACAUGUAUAAAAGCAUAAUAUUUUAAAUUUUUUGUAUCAGAAAUUGAAUGGAAAUGACUAAGUUUAACUAUAGUUCAUUUUCUGUUUAAUAAGACUAGUUAAUACAAAGAUGAUUUUCAUUUUAUCAGAUUAUAAAGAAUGAGAAUGACUUACACAUGGCAUCAUAUGUGUUACUGCAUGUUUACUGGAAAUUAUAAAAGGCACAUAAUUUUAAAAUUCUACACUUUCAAAGAAAUUAGUUCAAAGCUUAACUCACAUAAGCAUAGCCCUUCUGAUCAUCCACAAAACAGAAUGGCAAUGAUUCAUGUUCUAUUUGGUAAGUUUACCUGUAUAGGUCCUAAAUACCAAGAACUCAAAAUAUAUACCUCAAAAGUAGAGGUUCUUCUAUAAAAAUACUCAAAGCUUAUUACUCUACUUGUGUUUUAUAAUAAACAGUUAUAUUGGUCAUUCUAUAGGUAUACAAGUUGUUUAAUAAUCCUUCUCAAACAUCCUAGCAACUAAGACUCUCUUUGCUAUAAUAUUAAGACUAUAUAAAUAAUCCUUAGAAAAUAAAAUGACAGGCUAUUCAUUUUUAAAAGUAAAAUUAUAUGCUGAUUCUGGUGCUUGCGAGUUUAACUUAUCUAAGAGUAUUUUCAAUCACUCUAAAAUGUCACAUCUAUCACUUAGAUCAGCUGUUCAUUUUUAACUGAGUACAUAUUAAACUCUGGGCAUCUGCUGACACUGGUAUAACUCAAACAUUUCAACUGUCUCCCUGACAGGGAUAACAGAUGCUGACAUUAUCAAAUGCUGUACUAUUUUUUUCCCAUGGCCUCUCCUUGCCCCGAUAUGGCCAGUAUAUGAAACUGAACUGCCAUCCAAAAACACACUUGAGCAACUGGAUCUGCUAAACAGCUCCCAUAUAACUAGUAAAAAUAGAAGCCAGUAUUAUUGCUAUCUUCAGCACUUAAGUUUAGGCAGUUUAACACCUGUUUCACUUCUACUAGAAAAAAUGAUGAAAAAGAAUUGUAGUUAAUUUCACCAGCAGUAUGAUACUUACCAACCAACAGACGCAGAAUAUACUUAGUGUAAGAGUCAUUUGCAUACUGCCUGAAUUAGCGUUGACCUCUCAGUUUAAAAUAGUAACUGUAAAGAAUAUUUCUCUACUCUAUAUUUCUCUGAGAGCACUUAACUUUAUAGGCAAAUUAUAAUUUAUCAAACUUUUAUUUUAUGCAAGAAGACACCCCUCUCAAGACAUUGAAAUCAACAGUAAAACCACAUUAUAACAAAAAUUUACUCUGAUUUUUCAAGUAUUAUCCACACAAUAGAUUUUAAUACUUGUAUCCAUGGAUUGUAACUAACCACCAUGUAUUACUAAGGCGAUAAUGAGAAGUAACUUGGCAAUCUGUACCCAAAAUGACAAAGAACUUAGUCAAGGAAAUAGACCUUUAAAAGGGUUAAAUUACUAAGCUAUGAUUAGUAACACCACGUAAGCAAAAACAAAGAAAAACUGGCAUGCAUGGUAGUUCCUUUCGACACAAGUCCAAGCAAUACACUGAAUACACAUGUGAUCUAUUUAUAAAUCAAAGGGCAGAGGUACUUUCUUAAGGCCACUGAUAUUCCUACACCCAUCAACAAUUUGCUAUUAGCCCUCAACUAUAAUGCUAAAAGAAGCAGUGGCAGUAGAAGGGGGUGACUAACUGAACUCUUCCCCAACCUUUUAGCUUAACUAUUUAUCUGGUUUGCUGCCUAGAGAUAAAUGGAAAACAUUACUCUAAAAUACAUCAAGGUCUAUUUGUUCCUUUAAAUACUAUUGGUUUUGAAAUAGCUUAUUGUCUACAUGUAAGAAUUAAGCAAAGACUUCGGCUGUGGACAAGAUUAGAAAAAGAAAAAGAAGCAAAGAUGUUGAAAACAAAGACGUACAUUGAUCAUUCCUUAAUGCAGUAAUGUGUUAAAAGGAAAAGAUUUUUAAACCAUUAAGCGCAGGAAAACAGUAGGAAAGUGACUUCAAAAUGGAAAAUUUGACAUUCAGUGACUGAAGCAUUGGUAUGAUAAUUUCUAACACUUGUAGAAGGUCCAUGACUGUAAUUUUACCAAUGAAAAGCAUUUAACUGUUUUGGAUUCCAAACUAGCAGCACUACAAUGCUUUGCUAGAGCUGGUAAAAUGGAACCAAAUCGCCUCUUCAAUGGAUUUGGUCCCCUUCAACCAGCUGUAGCUAUGCAUUGAUUACUACGGGACAACCAACGUUUUCAUUUGUGAAUAUCAAUUACUUGCCAACUAAUUUCAACUUAUUUACAUUAUGCAGACUGUGAUUAUAAUCAAAUAACUUGUUACUGUUAAUUCUACCUGGAAAAGCUAGAAUGGUUAAAGAUGUUUAUAAAAAGCUUUAUGAAAAAUGUAUGGAUGACUUAAGGAUUUCAAAUAAAAAUUUUACUUAUUAUGGUC